rnacentral:rRNA from 1 species
AUUGAACGCUGGCGGCAUGCCUUACACAUGCAAGUCGAACGGUAACAGGUCUUCGGAUGCUGACGAGUGGCGAACGGGUGAGUAAUGCAUCGGAACGUGCCCAGUAGUGGGGGAUAGCCCGGCGAAAGCCGGAUUAAUACCGCAUACGACCUGAGGGUGAAAGGGGGGGAUCGCAAGACCUCUCGCUAUUGGAGCGGCCGAUGUCAGAUUAGCUGGUUGGUGGGGUAAAGGCCUACCAAGGCAACGAUCUGUAGUUGGUCUGAGAGGACGACCAGCCAACCUGGGACUGAGACACGGCCCAGACUCCUACGGGAGGCAGCAGUGGGGAAUUUUGGACAAUGGGCGCAAGCCUGAUCCAGCAAUGCCGCGUGCAGGAAGAAGGCCUUCGGGUUGUAAACUGCUUUUGUCAGGGAAGAAAUCUUCUGGGUUAAUACCUCGGGAGGAUGACGGUACCUGAAGAAUAAGCACCGGCUAACUACGUGCCAGCCGCCGCCGUAACAC